CGUAAGCAACCUGCCUUUAAGACGAGAAUAACAAUUGGAAACAGUUGCUAAGGCUGGAUAGGAAAUAAAAAGGCAUCUUUUUAUUUUUAAAAGACCUUUUUCGGAAGGUAUGCUUAAAGGGGGGCUUGCGUCACAUUAGUUAGUUGGUAGGGUAAAGGCCUACCAAGACGAUGAUGUGUAGCUGGACUGAGAGGUUGAACAGCCACAUUGGGACUGAGACACGGCCCAAACUCCUACGGGAGGCAGCAGUAGGGAAUUUUCGGCAAUGGAGGAAACUCUGACCGAGCAACGCCGCGUGAACGACGAAGUACUUCGGUAUGUAAAGUUCUUUUAUUGAAGAAGAAACAAUAGUGGAAAAACUAUCUUGACGUUAUUCAAUGAAUAAGCCCCGGCUAACUAUGUGCCAGCAGCCGCGGUAAUACAUAGGGGGCGAGCGUUAUCCGGAAUCAUUGGGCGUAAAGGGUGCGUAGGCGGUUAAUAAGUCUCUAGUUUAAUUUCAACGCUUAACGUUGUCCUGCUAGAGAAACUGUUUAACUAGAGUGAGAUAGAGGUAAGCGGAAUUCCAUGUGUAGCGGUAAAAUGUGUAAAUAUAUGGAGGAACACCAGAGGCGUAGGCGGCUUACUGGGUCUUUACUGACGCUGAUGCACGAAAGCGUGGGGAGCAAACAGGAUUAGAUACCCUGGUAGUCCACGCCGUAAACUAUGAGUACUAAGUGUCGGGGUUAAACUCGGUACUGAAGUUAACACAUUAAGUACUCCGCCUGAGUAGUACGUACGCAAGUAUGAAACUUAAAGGAAUUGACGGGAUCCCGCACAAGCGGUGGAUCAUGUUGUUUAAUUCGAAGAUACACGAAAAACCUUACCAGGUCUUGACAUACUCUGCAAAGCUAUAGAAAUAUAGUGGAGGUUAUCAGGGAUACAGGUGGUGCAUGGUUGUCGUCAGCUCGUGUCGUGAGAUGUUAGGUUAAGUUCUAAAACGAGCGCAACCCCUGUCGUUAAUUGCCAGCACGUUAUGGUGGGGACUUUAGCGAGACUGCCAAUGAAAAAUUGGAGGAAGGUGGGGAUUACGUCAAAUCAUCAUGCCCCUUAUGAUCUGGGCUACAAACGUGAUACAAUGGCUAUUACAAAGAGUAGCUGAAACGCGAGUUUUCGGCAAAUCUCAAAAAAAUAGUCUCAGUUCGGAUUGAAGUCUGCAACUCGACUUCAUGAAGUUGGAAUCGCUAGUAAUCGCGAAUCAGCAUGUCGCGGUGAAUACGUUCUCGGGGUUUGUACACACCGCCCGUCAAACCAC
rnacentral:rRNA from 1 species